GAUGAACGCUGGCGACGUGCCUAAUACAUGCAAGUCGAGCGAAUGGAUUAAGAGCUUGCUCUUAUGAAGUUAGCGGCGGACGGGUGAGUAACACGUGGGUAACCUGCCCAUAAGACUGGGAUAACUCCGGGAAACCGGGGCUAAUACCGGAUAACAUUUUGAACCGCAUGGUUCGAAAUUGAAAGGCGGCUUCGGCUGUCACUUAUGGAUGGACCCGCGUCGCAUUAGCUAGUUGGUGAGGUAACGGCUCACCAAGGCAACGAUGCGUAGCCGACCUGAGAGGGUGAUCGGCCACACUGGGACUGAGACACGGCCCAGACUCCUACGGGAGGAAGCAGUAGGGAAUCUUCCGCAAUGGACGAAAGUCUGACGGGGCAACGCCGCGUGAGUGAUGAAGGCUUUCGGGUCGUAAAACUCUGUUGUUAGGGAAGAACAAGUGCUAGUUGAAUAAGCUGGCACCUUGACGGUACCUAACCAGAAAGCCACGGCUAACUACGUGCCAGCCGCCGCCGUAA
rnacentral:rRNA from 1 species